GGUAAGAUGGUCGAGACUUAGGCGAUAGACUGUAAAUCUAUAUAGGGGAAAAUUUGAAUUCUCUUUUACCG
rnacentral:tRNA from 1 species